UGGGUGACCUGCCCUCAGCUCUGGGAUAAGCCCGAGAAAUUGGGUCUAAUACCGGAUAUGACCUUUCCUCGCAUGGGGUUUGGUGGAAAGUUUUUUCGGCUGGGGAUGGGCUCGCGGCCUAUCAGCUUGUUGGUGGGGUAAUGGCCUACCAAGGCGACGACGGGUAGCCGGCCUGAGAGGGCGACCGGCCACACUGGGACUGAGACACGGCCCAGACUCCUACGGGAG
rnacentral:rRNA from 1 species